UACAGAGGUCUCAAGCGUUGUUCGGAUUCAUUGGGCGUAAAGGGUGCGUAGGCGGCGCGGUGAGUCGGAUGUGAAAUCUCGGAGCUUAACUCCGAAACUGCAUUCGAUACUGCCGUGCUUGAGGACUGGAGAGGAGACUGGAAUUUACGGUGUAGCGGUGAAAUGCGUAGAUAUCGUAAGGAAGACCAGUGGCGAAGGCGGGUCUCUGGACAGUUCCUGACACUGAGACACGAAGGCCAGGGGAGCAAACGGG
rnacentral:rRNA from 1 species